rfam:Myotis brandtii contig244641, whole genome shotgun sequence.
AACACCUGUGGAUCUUGUUUAAAUGCAGAUUCUGAUUCAGUAAGUCUCCAUGGGACCUGUGAUUCUGCAUUUGUAAUAAGUUCCCAGGUGGUGCUCA